UACGAAGGGUGCAAACGUUGCUCGGAAUCAUUGGGCGUAAAGCGCACGUAGGCGGCUUCGCAAGUCGGAUGUGAAAUCCCGUGGCUCAACCAUGGACGUGCAUCCGAAACUGCGAGGCUUGAGUAUGGAAGAGGGUCGCGGAAUUCCCGGUGUAGAGGUGAAAUUCGUAGAUAUCAGGAGGAACACCAAUUGCGAAGGCAGCUCGCUGGGACGUUACUGACGCUGAGACGCGAAAGCGUGGGGAGCAAACAGG
rnacentral:rRNA from 1 species